AGUGAACGCUGGCGGUAGGCCUAACACAUGCAAGUCGAACGGCAGCACAGUAAGAGCUUGCCCUUACGGGUGGCGAGUGGCGGACGGGUGAGGAAUACAUCGGAAUCUACUUUUUCGUGGGGGAUAACGUAGGGAAACUUACGCUAAUACCGCAUAUGUCCUACGGGUGAAAUCAGGGGAUCUUCGGACCUUUCGCGUCUGAAUUAGCCGAUGUCGGAUUAGCUAGUUUGCGGGGUAAAGGCCCACCAAGGCCACGCUCCGUAGCUGGUCUGAGAGGAUGAUCAGCCACACUGGAACUGAGACACGGUCCAGACCCCUACGGGAGGCAGCAGUGGGGAAUAUUGGACAAUGGGCGCAAGCCUGAACCAGCCAUACCGCGUGGGUGAAGAAGGCCUUCGGGUUGUAAAGCCCUUUUGUUGGGAAAGAAAAGCAGCAGGUUAAUACCCCGCUGUUCUGACGGUACCCAAAGAAUAAGCACCGGCUAACUUCGUG
rnacentral:rRNA from 1 species